ensembl:lncRNA
CUGCCGCUGACGCCGGCGCUGCAGAAACCCUGACGCAGGCUUUUCCGGCCAGCGGUGAAAGGUCACCGGGUGCUUCGAGGAGCCUUUCUCUUCCACCGCUGCCCGGGUCCCGGCUCCGCCUUUCUAGAUCCAGAUCAGUUGUGUUUCUACAACAUGUCCGUGAAACAAUCAGUGUAAAUUCAGACACGUGAGGCUGAGCUGAAGAGAAUGAGACCAAACACGGCGAGGAGGGGAAAGAGGUGAAAUACAAAUGACAUCGCGGCCCCCAGAGGAUGAACCCAACAAAUCCUGAAAAAUUAGCUUUAAAUUUUUGUUCAUGACGUGCAGAUUCUGACAUUUUGUGAAAAUUUAAGCAACAAUUUGAUUUUUUUCUACCAAACAAAGUGUGAAACUUCAGUUCGACUGGUGUUUGUAAAUGAGCGCCCCAUGUUGUGUAGCUUUAUUGCUGAAUGAAAGCUCGCUCAGCUGUUGCACUUUAUUUGAUUUCAUUGUUGGAGCAGAUUGAGACAUAAAGCUCACUCCGGAGGCCGUGAUGAAAUAUCAGCAUCAACCCGAUGCAGCAGGUAAAUCUACCUGUCUCCGCACACCUGUAGACACCUGUCACUGCAUCUAUGAACUGCCUGCAGAUUAGCAUGCGUCAUGUUCUCUGACAUAUACUGAAGUGGUCCCGGCCUGCAGCAUGCACAGGGACCGAGCGCCGUUUAUUUAGGAGGUGAAAACGAAGACGCCCACAAAACAGUAAAUCAAACAUCACUGAAUGCAGUUUAAAGAACACGCGUGUGAAAUUAGUGUGAUAAUCGUCACACAUGCAGUCAGAACGUUUAGAUUAAAGCCCUCGUCACAGUUCGCACAUGUGGCCUCAAAUAUCACAGGAACUAAAAGAGGAAGUGAAACGAGCUUCUGUGGCCGUGUGGGGCUCUUCAUCCGGGCGCCCUGCUCUAACAUCACCAUCACUUCACCAGUUUCACGUUUUAUUCACUGACACCUGAAAACAGCAACAAAACCAUAAACCAAUCAGGAACGAGUUCACGCUUUGGUUUGAGGAACUGGAGCCAUUUUUUUUUUUAGCCACGCCCUGCUCGUGGUUCUGGAGGGUCGCUCUGUGGUUCGUUGCCUGCUACAGUGAGCUCAGAGGAGGAGGAGCCUGUCCCCAGGGGAUCGCCGCCCUGUUAUUGAGUGUGGACGUUCAGAGGAACGCAGAGGAACGGUGUGCUUGUUUCAUCUACUUGGCUCUCUGGUCGGCGGGGUUGCUUGGUUUGAAGUUGGAGGAAGAGGAAGAAGAGCCGAGGACGAUGCUGACCCAUAAUCCUUUGGUUCCCACGAGACCCGGCAGUCCUGAGAGGAGAGAAACGAGGGGGGCCAUUAAAGCAUUUGUGGAAAUUCAGAAAUUCUUUUAUUGCUGCCAUAUAACCUGCAUUAUUAUAAUUGCAUUAAUAACAUGUUUUACAGCAUUAUUUUAUUAGUAAUAUUUCUUACAGGG